GCAGGAGGAGAGGGAGGGAGGGAGAAUCCUAAGCAGGCUCUGCACUGUCAGCAAAGAACCAAAUGUGGGGCUCAAUUCCAUGAACCAUGAGAUCAUGACCUGAACCAAGAUCAAGAGUGACAUGUUUAACCGACUAGCCACCCAGGCACCCCAAUUAUUGUAAUUUUUAAAUCAAGCACUUUCAUUUUGUUUUACAGGUUCCCCUUGAGACUCUAUUCAUUGAGUCGUUGUCAUCAUAGUUUCCUUUAAUCCUGUAAACACAGUUCCCUUCAUUUCUUUGAAAUAUCUAUAAUAGGGGCUUUAGAGUCUGUGUGUGUCAGAUCCAACAUUUGUGAUCACUAGAGGCAGUUUCUACUGAUUUUUUUUUCCCCGCAGUAUAGGUCACACUUUGGUUUUUUGCAUCUUUUUACCUUUUUGUUGAAUACUGAACAUUUAAAGUAAGGUACUGCUGGCAACUCUAGAUUCUGAAUUUUUCCCAGCUAAGGUUUUGUGAUGGUGGUGGUUCUUCUGGUUUUUGUUUUUGCUUUUACUAACUUCCCAGGAAUAUACCUGUGCAACCUGUCUCUCCUAUAAUGUGUGGUGCCUGAUGGCUCAGAAUUUUUUCCCUGGUUUUUAUCGUGAAGCCAGAUCACCCCUCUGUCUAUAUAACUUACUGACUGGUCAGAGGUGGUGCUCACCUUGAGCCCUUUUAUUCUCUCCUGAUGGAUCUGUGCUUGGGAUGGGGAGCACACUCUCAGUUUAGGUCUUUAAAUCUACUGUAGAUUUUACUUUCUGUUGGGCUUUCUCACACAGCCUUUGCAUUGGCCAAAAAAAUAUAUAGAUGGCUUGGGCUUGCACUGGUUUCUACUGUGUGUGAAGCCUCCAGUCAACCCAGGAUAUAUGGAGACCCUAUCAAACUUCCUGUAGUUGUCUCACUGCCCAGACCUCUCUGUUAAAGCCCUAUCCAGGCUGCUGCUCCACUGUCUGCCCCAAACAGGUCUGUAACCUUAGGCUAGAAGAGUUGCUUGGCUCUCCCUAUUUCACUUGUUACCAAGAUCAUCACUUUUUUCUCUUCAAUACUAUUUUUUUCUACUUAAAUCCAAGUUGGUGAACACACAGUAUAUACAGUAAGAUCAUCACUUUUAACUGCUAAUACUCCAAAUCAAGUGAGCCCCCUCCCACAGGGGUAGUAAAGCAGCUGGUUUUCUACUGGUUGAACUACUACAACUAGUUCCACCCUGGUUGAACUACUACACUAUCAGGGCUGAAAAUAAUGGGAGAAAUCCUGGGCAAGACCAUAAACAUGUUUUAUACAAAAUUCAGUGGUUUUCAUGAACAAAUGCUUCUCAACUUGUUAUAAGCCUGCAAUUAUUUCUGUUUCUUCCAGCUUUGCAGUUGCUUUUGGGGGACAGGAUUUGUUGACCUGCUCACUCAGUCAUGCCAGAAAUGAAUCUCCUCAUUAGAUGUGUUUUUAUAAAUCUCAUACAUGAUAAAAGUCUAACUUUGGUAAAGCCAAACAGUCUGAAAUCCAAUCUGCUUUCCUGGAAUUAGACCCAAGUAUCAUAAUACCUAAACUGUUCAAAUACACCUCAAUCCCAAAAUAUACUUGAGAAAAAACUUCCCUGGGGGAAGGCAGAGGAAUAAAAUGACUCUGGAAUAUUGGAAUGAUUUUCAAUUCCAGAAGACAAUACAAAAAUUUGAGUAUCAGAUAGUUAUUUCCAGUUCCCACCUCCCAAAAGCCCUAACUACUGGAGUCAGUAGUACUCUAUAAAUGGAUAUAUAAUCUGAACAGCCCUAAAGCCAAUCGUGGCUAGGGCAGGAGUACAUAGUCUCCAAUCUUGUCGCCAUGUAGGUACUCAAACAGCUCCUACACAGAGAAGGACACUGAGUGCUACAGCUGGCCCUGGCCAUUGCAACUAAGCCCAUCAGCAUGCAUGGGUGUCUAUCAUGGGUCCCUUGCUCACAGGCCUGGGCUCACUCUUGGCCUCUCUAGUCAUACCAUCCUGAGACCCAAAGUCCUGAGUCUUAAUACUCAUACUCCUAGCCAAAAACUGGGUGGUUUGAAAGUAUCUCUUCUAUUUGCCAAACUUCAACCAUCACGUAAUGCCUGGAUCCUCACUGCAUUUGCCAGCUCCCCAUGCCUUCCCACCCCAGGGCUGCCAAAUAAUUCCUAAUCAGUGAUGCCCCUGAAUUUGCCCUACCUGUAACACUGUCCCUCAAAUGCCAGACUUAAUGGUGAGUUGCUACAACCUCCAUCUAGCCUGCUACCUGACUGACGUUAUCAUGUCAGACAAUUUGUCUACUGUUCAUAUUCUCCUAAUAUUGUAUUUGUACCUUCUACUAAAUAGUCAAUAUGCUAUAACCCUUGACAGGACAAAUGGACACCUAACCCUAGCUGGGCUUAUCCUCUUUCCUGAGCAUUUAAAUUUUGAAUACCAAUGCUUCCCUUAGCCUGUGUUGAGCAUAGGUGCUGGAAAGACAUGACAAGGCAGGGCAGAGGCGGCCAUUUUCCACCAUGGAUACCGAAGCAAAGAGUAUCAGUUUGAAGGAGAAAAGAAGUAUGAAACAGAGGCACCACAGAAGCAGAAAUAAGAUUCUAUAUGACCAAAGAGAGAUGGGAGAGAAAUUCUGGUCUUAACCAUUUAUGAAAUCCAAAUGAAUGUCCUGCCCUUAGGCCUCAAGAGAAACCCUGUACUUUCCAACAAUGUCCCCAUUUUAAAUUAGUUUAAGGGGGAGGGGGAGGGUGUUCUGUUCCUUGCAGUUGAACUACUCCAGUUAAUACCUCUGGUUUCUCCCUUGCUACCAGUCUAUGUUUCCCAGAAACCCACAUCACUCACACUCUAGUUAGACCAGUUCCUUCUCCACCAUACGGUUCCUUGCGUUCAACCCAUGCUUUUCUGGCUAUACCCAGAUUCUUUACAAAUCCCUAAGUUAAGAUCCUCUUCUCUAAGCGCUGAAGUUCUCUUUGUCUAUGAUGAACAAGCAAUGAGACGUAGUGUGAUUUUAACCUUUUAGGCUCAGCUUCUCACCUAGGAACCACCACCUACUUCAUAUGGUUAUGACAGGAAUUACAUAUGGUGAGAAUAAAGUCCUUGGCACCUCAUCGGACACACAGAAAGCUCCACUAAAGGUAGUUGUUUUCAGUAUUACAUUGAUUAAAUUUGUGCAUUCUGAACAUGAGGUAAAAAACUAAUAUUUAAGAACUGAAGGGCACUAAGUAUAUCAAGAAGACUAAUCAAAAGUAAUUCCUUCUGGGUAGUAUUCUUUUCACAUGAGAGCACUAGAAUACUAACUUGUGAGCAGCCAUACCAACUCCCCAGUCAAAUCUAUUUCUCCCAAACUUGUAUUUCUGAAGCUUUGAAAAUGACCCUGUGACCUUUCACCUAUAUUUGCAGGAUCAUUUCUACUAAUUUACUGAUGUUGCUUGAGAUUUGUUUGCAGAUAUUUUUACCCGUUUGGAAAACAAAAAACAAAAACACAAAGGUAAGAGGUUGAAAGUAACUGGCCAAAAAUCACAGUUAUCAAAUCUAUGUGAAGAGAUUGUAAUAUAUUUUUGGUGAGAUAUAAUUAAGGGCCAAAAUAAUCAUUACUAUUAGGAGAGGGUUACCAAUAAGUUUUUGUCUAGCAAAACCUCUAACAGGAAAAAAAAAAAAAAAAAGAUGAAGGGACAGAGACAGAGACUAAAUACCACAAUUAAGGUUGUUUUGAUAAAAAUUACAUUUAGGGCUUGGUUUUUACUACAUCUUAGUUAUGUUGACAGAUUCCUGGAUAACUGAGAUGCUAAAUAAUCCAGACGCCAAACAAAUCAACAAAAGUCCCACCACAAAAUCAUGACAAAAAGGAUUUUAUUUCCUUCUCAAUUACACAAAUCUACUCCAUUCAGCAAAAGCAAAAACAAUUCCUAGGAGAAUCAUUUGGUUUUAGACUCAUAAAUAAUUGUCAACAGGACUGAUCACAUAAUGAGGAGUAAUUCUAUCGACAGUAUUAGAACUAUUAUUAUAAAUCUGUGCAUACACAAUGGACCACACACACACACAAUGGUCAGAUUUUGCUUUAAGUCACAGAAGAACACUUUCUAUUUCAUACGUAGCUCCAAAGGCCCAUUGCACUGAGCCUCCUUCUAGCUAGCCUGUGGCUAUUUUUCUACCUUCUCCUCUUCCUUCCCAAUCUUUUAGCCCCAGGAUUCUCAAGGCAUUUACUUACAGGAUCCUCUUGGUGAAUUAAUCCAACAUUCAUCCAUCUUAUGAGUAAAUGAUGUUCAAUUCAUUUCUACUUAUGAAUAAAGGCUAUCGUAAUUUGUUAACUGUUAAUAAAAUUCGGUGUUUAUAAACUAAAAUUAACAAGAGACUCUUUAGUAUUCCACUAAAACACCUGGCUGCUACAAAACAGGUAACAAUGUUGCAAAAACCCUAUUGCAAUUACAUACAAAAAAUAAAUCAUGCAGUUCUCAGAAGAACUCCAUUAUCACUGUUGAAGGAAUUAGUGGUAGUUUUCAAUUGCUGCUAUUCUUGUUUUUUAAUCUUCAUUCAGCAAGGUCAUUUCAAAGUAGUUUGAUACAUGCUGUAUGAUAGGUAUUACAUCAAGAGUAUCCUUAUUUUAAAUUUUCCAGUAAUGAGAUUGUGAUAUAUAUGUCAUGUUUCAAACAGGAGUCAUACCUCAAUUGCCAAAGCCCAUUUAUCAUCCUUACCCCAAAUUUAUUUGUGCAUGAUAGUCCAUUUCCAAUGGAAAACAGGAACAGUCAGAUUAAGUAGGUAAUGGGGCUCUGCCUAAGUUGGCUGAGGUCAAAAAAGGUGGCAUCACUGCUAUAAUCAAGCAAGCUGUUCUACGCUGCCAGGUCACACUACGUCCAGCCUAGUAGUCUUCCUAAACUUUCUCUCUAAACUACCUCAAGGAGCAUUAGAAACUCACCCCACCCGUGAUCUUUUAAUUUUCCAAGCCCCAUAUAUUCUGCCCAUGGCUUCUUGGAAUCUCACAUCCCCUUAAUGGACUUUUUUCCUUCAUCAUUAUCUUAAUUCUUUGUCCAGGAAAAUCUCUGUUCUCUCAAUUUCCAUUUUUACACGAAAAACCCACACCUUAGACUAGAACACUCAAAAAAACCUUUUUUUGUUUUGCUUUUUUAUGCCCAAGGAGAGGAGUCUUAGACCCAACAGACGGCAUGGAGCCAAUAAUGCCUCUUUCUGCAAUCUCCUGGAAGUAGAUUUUCAGCUCUCAGAUCUGAGUGCACAUCCUUCUUGUCCUUACGCCCUAAACUCAUAUCCCUUUGCAUUAAUGACUAGCUCUAUCACCUUACUCCUCCAAUCCCCCAAUAUUCGAAGUGAAGCAACUGGACAGCUACUGAAUAAGCCAAGAUUUUGAAGUCUAAAAGGAAAGGAAGGGAGGCAGCAAAAUGGAUUCCAACAUUUUAAUGAGAAUUUUCUUACAUGUUUUCAGAAUGAGAUAAAGGUUCAUUCUUUCUCUCAGAUUCUGAGGGGUAGCAGUAUUUUCAGAAAAUUUUGGUUUUCUAUUCUGUUUAAUUAUGAGUUUUACAAGCAUUGUUUUCUUCUAUUUUUCAGUCUGAUUCCUGUUCUUGGCUCUUCAGUUAGGGCCUAUUGCCACCUUGUGGACUAACUGGGCAUAAAUGCCAACGCACUAUCACAGGUUCUCACUUCGGUGCUUCCAGAAGAGACCACUAGAUGGUGACUUCAAGUUUGAAGAGACUUCUAAAUCAAUCUAGAAAACCAGUUAGUUGGUUUAUGACUACACAAAAAAAUAGAUUCACACAGAUAAAAUAAAAAGGAAUGUGUCCAAAAUUAUGAGUUAGAUAAAAAUAAAAAUCUUUUGGAGGUAGUAUGGUCUAAGGUCAGGCUUUGACUCUUAGCAAACUAGAAAUACAAGGGAACUUUCUCAUGCUGAUAAAGGACAACUACAAAAAAACUGUAUAGCUUCCUGAUUUCAAAACUUACUAUAAAGCUACUGUAAUCAAAACAGUGUGAUACUGACAUAAAAAUAGACAUACAAAUGGAAUAGAAUACAGAGCCCUGAAAUACAUUCUCCCAUAUAUGGUCAAUGAUUUUCAACAAGGUUGUCAAGACCAUUCAGUGGGGAAAGGGACAAUCCUUGAAAAGAUAGUGAUGGCAAAAUUGAAUAUCCACAUGCGAAAGAAUGAACGUGGAUUACACCGUAUGUUCAAAAAUCACCUCCAGACAAAUCAAAGACCUAAAAGUAUAAAACUGUCAGAGGAAAACGCAGGGAAAAGCUGAAUGAUUUUGGAUUUGGCAAUGAUUUCUUGGAUAUGACACCAAAGGCACAGGCAACAAAAAAGAUCAAAAACAAGACAAGAAUGUCAUUCUCACCACUUUAUCUACUAUUAGACUGGAAAUCUUUGCCAAUGCAAUAAGGUAAUAAAAAUAAACAAAACUCAUAAACAUCAAAAAGGAAUAAGUAAAAUUGUCUUUAUUCACAGAUAUACACAUAGAAAGUCCCAAGGAAUUUUUUAAAGUUACCAGAACUAGGAAACAAGCUUAACAAUGUUAACAUACAAAAAUCAACCGCUUUUCUAUACUAGCAACAAACAAUGGUAAAAUAACAUUUUAAAAUACCACUUACUAUAACAUUUAAAAAAAAAAAAAAAGAGUACUUAUGGUAAGUUUAAAGAAAGAUAUACUAGAUCUCAACACUUUAAAUACUUGCUGAGAAAAAAAAGUUCUAAAUAUGUGAAAAGAUAUACUAAAUUCUAGAAGAUUCAAUUCUAAAAUGACAACUCUUAACCAAAUUGACAGGAUCAAUGCAGUCCAGUAAAAAAUCUAGGGGCGCCUGGGUGGCUCAGUCGGUUAGGCCUCCGACUUCAGCUCAGGUCAUGAUCUCGCGGUCCGUGAGUUCAAGCCCCGCGUCGGGCUCUGUGCUGACCGCUCAGAGCCUGGAGCCUGUUUCGGAUUCUGUGUCUCCCUCUCUCUCUGACCCUCCCCCAUUCAUGCUCUGUCUCAAAAAUAAAUAAACGUUUAAAAAAAAAUUUUUUUUUUAAAUCUCAGGAGGCUUCUUUAAAAAAGAAAAAACUGACGAGGUGAUUCUAAAAUCUAUAGAGAAAUGAAAACAAAACACCCUAGAAUAGCCAAAAUAGUCUAAACAACUCUGAAAGAAAAAUGGAGUUGGAGCACUAACACUGCCUGAUCUCAAGACUGAUUAUAAAGCUAUUGUAUUCAAGACACUGCAGUAAUGGUGAAAAGAUAAAUAGAUUAAUGGAAGAGAAUACAAUCUAUAAAUGGACUCACACAUACAAAAUAUCAACUUUUCAGCAAGUACAUCAAAAAUUCAAUGAGGAAAGUCUUUUCAACAAAUGGUGCUAAAACAAACUAAUAUUUCUCAUACCAUACAAAAAAUUUAAUUUAAGAUGAGUUAUAGACAUAAAUGUUAAAACUAAAAAUAGAGUUUCUAGUAGAAAACACAAACACCUUUGCAACCUCAGGACAGGCCAAGAUUUCUUAGAACACAAGCAUUAACCAUAAAAGAAAAAAUUAAUAAAUUAGACUUCCUAGAAAUGUGAAACUCCUGCUAAUCAAAAAAACAUAUUAAUAAAGUAGAACAGAAAGCCACAGAUUGGUAGAAAAUAUUCACACCAUGUAUUUGAUGAAGGACUUGCAUCCUAAAAAAAACAAAACAAAAA